GGGGCAGGCUAGGGGUGCCCGAAUGGAAGGGCUGAGAGCUGGGUUUCUCCCAGCAACCCUUGGAACCUGAUCCGGGUAAUGCCGGCGGAGGGAAGCCUAUGCGGAAGACC
rnacentral:ncRNA from 17 species